AACUGCCGUUGCCGUUGGUGGCCGUUGGGCCUUCCUUACUUAUUUUAUUUGUUUGUUUAUUAUUUACAAACAUUUAGUUUGAUGGUUAAAUUGAAAUUCUCAUUGUAAAUUCAUUAUCUAAGACUUUCAGCUUGUUUUGAGAAACAUCAGAGUUGAGACAGAACUAACUUGUUAUCAAUGGUGAGACAGAACUAACUUGUUAUCAAUGGAUAAUAUGGAUUCAAAUUCAGACUCUGCUCGUUUGGACAACUCUUCAGAGCUGACACAGAGCUAACACAGAGCUAACUUGUUGUCAAUGGAUUGACAAUGGAUUCAAUUUCAGACUCAGCUCGUUUGGACAAACUCUUCAGAGCUGACACAGAGCUAACUUGUUGUCGAUGGAU